UAUGAAAAUUAAGUUAAAAUUUAAGAGCAUUCUCACCAGAGGAAAUGGGAAAAAAUAAGGGGUAAAAAAACUUUGGUUAGUCCUGUGCAUGUGACAUAUUUUGUGGUGUCAAUUGUGAAUAUAUUUGUGUGGUGUCUGGCUGUACACCUUGUUUUUUAGGACAUUGAUUUGGAAAACGAGUAGCACAAGCUUUCCACAUUAGGUUUUGAAGUUUUGUAUGAGCAAGUCAUCUGGUUUUUAAUUUACUGGACAUUCAAAAAUAUGAAAUACUUGAAUGUGUUUUUACAGAUUACUCUUAUGAGCAAUCUAAGCCAACAGUGGUUUCCCUCUGAUGGCACAAAAAUAAUUGUGAAAUAAUAUUCUAAUCUUAUUGAGUAUCCCAGUUGCUUGUUUCAUGAACAGGCUUUCAGUUUAACUAUUUCUGUCUUCUCACCAUUCUGCUCUAGCUAGGUUCACCACAAGUAUUGAUUAGAAAGCUGUGAUAUAAAAUUUUUUCCGACCUUUUCAACCGAUGUUCUUCCCCUUGUGUCAUUUUGGAUAUGAAGAAUCAUUCUUCUGGCUUCUUUCUGUUCUGUACGCAUCAAAAUGAACAGAAUUCUUGUCAGUGAUGCCACAUAACUUUUUCUUAGAUUGAUUUUGUUUUGUAAUCUAGCUCCACUAAGUUUCUACCAUUUCCAAAGAUUGUUAGUUAUUGAUGAUUAAGUUGUGUGAUCUAGAAGGAUUCAUUUAACUGCUAAUGAAUUGCAAAUACUCAGGUUACGAGUUCAAUUAGGAGUAAACAUGCCCGCUCAAGCCAGUCGCAAACUUGAGGAGGUUGAUUCAAUGGAGGUUGAACUUUUUGAGGUAUAUGAUGUUGUCCUU
rnacentral:misc_RNA from 1 species